UGGGGAAUUUUGGACAAUGGGCGAAAGCCUGAUCCAGCAAUGCCGCGUGUGUGAAGAAGGCCUUCGGGUUGUAAAGCACUUUUGUCCGGAAAGAAAUGGCUCUGGUUGAUACCUGGGGUCGAUGACGGUACCGGAAGAAUAAGGACCGGCUAACUACGUGCCAGCAGCCGCGGUAAUACGUAGGGUCCAAGCGUUAAUCGGAAUUACUGGGCGUAAAGCGUGCGCAGGCGGUUGUGCAAGACCGAUGUGAAAUCCCCGAGCUUAACUUGGGAAUUGCAUUGGUGACUGCACGGCUAGAGUGUGUCAGAGGGGGGUAGAAUUCCACGUGUAGCAGUGAAAUGCGUAGAGAUGUGGAGGAAUACCGAUGGCGAAGGCAGCCCCCUGGGAUAACACUGACGCUCAUGCACGAAAGCGUGGGGAGCAAACAGG
rnacentral:rRNA from 1 species